rnacentral:lncRNA from 1 species
GAUUGUACUAGGGACCGUGUUUUGUGUAAAUCCCGGUUGAGUAACAGUACAGAGGCCGGGGGAACAUUCACAAGCCCAUGCCAGGAAAGUCUCUGUUGAAACAGGGUAGUCUGGUGACAAGUUCCCGUAAGUGAAAGAGCCAGCCCUCACACUCACAACAGGGUUUGGUUCUGAGAAAAACCUGUCCUAGUUGAAACCAAGGAGAGCAGUGACAACCUGGAACGUCACCAUUAGCUAGCUCCCCAGCUGCACUGCAUUCUUGUUGCAGUCCUAGCUGCUCCCAGGAUGAAGUGCUUGUGUUGGUUACAACAGGAGAGAAUUUGGGAGUAUGUCCAACCGGCCUUACCUCAUGUAACUACGCCAGCCCAGGACCUCCACAUCUGGUUUCUUCAGCUGCAGGAUCAUCUGAGACUAGCCACUUGGACAGCUGAUGAAACUGAGGACUAUUUCUGUCUGUAAUAAAGCCCUUUUGUGGGCAAAAACUCAUUCUGAUUGGCUGGGCUCUCCAGUGGGUGGGCCUAUGCUCUCCCAGACCCACCCAUGGAUGUGCCCCUGCCCAGUCAUGUGAAAUCUAUAGACUAG